GGGGUUGUGGCUCAGCGGUAGAGCACUCGCCUAGCAUGUGUGAGGCCCUGGGUUCGAUCCGCGGCACCA
rnacentral:tRNA from 1 species